ACAAAUAUCGUCAACGACAAAAAGAAUAAUGCUUGUUAGUUAGGUGGAAUACUGAGGUAAAAAUCAGUUGUCACUGUUAAAAAAAACACACAACACUGCGCAAAAUUUACCCAGUAUUUGUCGAUAUUUUAACCAACAAAAUAAAUGUUCGGUUUUAUCCAAUAUUUGAGUGAGGCUUUUGUUAUAAACUCAACAGGCACAAAUAAAAGUAAGAGCAUUUUAACUCUGGAUGUACCAUUUAUUCUCCUUAAAUAGAUGCCAAAGCGUAAAUAUAACCUGGGCCCUGUUGCAAAAAAAUUUAUGUCAUUAUGACAUAAAUUUCGAUAUUGACAUAAAAUCAUGCAUAGCUUAUGUCGUUGACAUAAAUUUCGUUGCAUAAAAAUAUUUAUGUAUUGUUUUAGCUUAUGACGCGAUUUAAUCAUCAUUACAUAAACUGAAUAGUCAUGAACGAGCCUGUUGACAUAAACUUGGCAUAAGUUGUCAUUUUUUAGCCGCAGCAAGUUCUUGCGAAGAAGGGUCCUUGGCUUCCAGUUUUGACGGAAUAGAGGCAUAUUUUGGUGAACCACACAAAUGGUGAGAAGAGUUAGAAAGAGAGAGGGGACAGCAACUGGAAGGAGAUGGAAGUCCAGACACUCUGCCACUGUGUGCCAUUGAACAAGAAAUCUCUCUUUGGAUUAGGGGGUCAAGCUAGUAUGAAGAUUGUUCAAGAGUCAAGACUGUUGAAGACAUGACGUCAUGGACCUGGUUGCACCUGGCAAGGGCACUAUAUGACUUCACUGAAGUAUUCACAAAACGCUUUGUAAAAUUAACAUUAGUACUAAUUGUCAUUUUUCAAAGAUAAGCAUUAUAUUGACAUUGUGCAUAUCUUUUUAUGAUUGUUAUCAUAAAAUUAUUAUAGUGUUAAUGAUGAUAGGUCAUAAUAUUAGAAAUGAAAAAUAAGUAGAAAAAAAGACGACAAAGAAGGAGGAGGAAAAGAAGAGGAGGGGUGGAAGAGGAGAAAAGGAGGAGAGAAAAAAUUGCAUCACUGCGAGUUCAUUCAUGAUAACAGAAAUCAUCGUCUCUUUUAAAUGGAAAUAUUUAUUAAAGUUCAAGUACACCCCAGAAAAAUGUUGAUUUGAAUAAAUAGAGUAUGAGUAUGAAUAGUAAUCUUAAAUGGCUGCUGACUUUUUACUUUAUCUACUUCUCCAUUUAUUGUGUAAAUGUACGGUAGAUUAAAGGCCAAGUCCACCCCAGAGAAAUGUUGAUUUCAGUAAAUAGAGAAAAAUCAAACUAACAUAACGCUGAAAAUGUCAUCAAAGUUUCGCUUAUUUUUCACAAAACAGUGAUAUGCACAACCCAGUGACAUGCAAAUGAGAGAGUCGAUGAUGUCCCUCACUCACUAUUUCGUUUUUUAUUGUUUGAAUUAUACAAUAUUUCAUUUUUUACAAAUUUGACAAUAAGGACCAACUUCACUGAACCAUAUAGUAUUAAACAAUACUAAUUCCACAUGUUGAGAGAGGAUCAAUGGUUGUUCACUUGACAAUGAAGAGAAAAUUAGAAUAUUUCAUACAAUAAAAUACAAAAGAAAUAGUGACUGGAUGACGUCAUCAGUCUCAUUUGCAUACCGACCAGGAUGUGCAUAUAACUGUUUUGUGAAAUUAAGUGAAACUUAAGCGAAAUGCCAUAACUUUCUUAUUUUACAUCCGAUUUUGAUGAAAUUUUCAGUGUUAUGCUUGUUGGAUUAAUCUCUUUUUAUUUAAACCAACUUUUUGUUGGGGUGGACUUGUCCUUUAGGCAUAAAAAUGUGAUAUAGUUAUUCUUGUUUUUUAAGAUGUAUUAUUGUGUCAUGUUUGUAGUUGUACACUUGAUUGAGGUAUUGUAUUAAUUUAGGAUAUGAAUAAUAUAUGUUAUUUGAAUCCACAUACCUCUUUUAAUCAUGUUUAUACAGUCAUGAGUAGGGGACAUGGGACAGGUGACAAGAUUAUAUUGUUUUACAAAUUUUAGUGUGCAUUUAUUUCAAAAGUAAUAAAUUUACAUAAAAUGUCA